rnacentral:rRNA from 1 species
AUCGAUGAAGAACGCAGCGAAAUGCGAUAAGUAAUGUGAAUUGCAGAAUUCAGUGAAUCAUCGAAUCUUUGAACGCACAUUGCGCCCGCCAGUAUUCUGGCGGGCAUGCCUGUCCGAGCGUCAUUUCAACCCUCGAACCCCUCCGGGGGAUCGGCGUUGGGGAUCGGGACCCCUCACACGGGUGCCGGCCCCUAAAUACAGUGGCGGUCUCGCCGCAGCCUCUCCUGCGCAGUAGUUUGCACAACUCGCACCGGGAGCGCGGCGCGUCCACGUCCGUAAAACACCCAACUUUCUGAAAUGUUGACCUCGGAUCAGGUAGGAAUACCCGCUGAACUUAAGCAUAUCAAUAAGCGGAGGAAAAGAAACCAACAGGGAUUGCCCCAGUAACGGCGAGUGAAGCGGCAACAGCUCAAAUUUGAAAUCUGGCCUCUCCGGGUCCGAGUUGUAAUUUGUAGAGGAUGCUUUUGGUGAGGUGCCGCCCGAGUUCCCUGGAACGGGACGCCGCAGAGGGUGAGAGCCCCGUCUGGCUGGCCACCGAGCCUCUGUAAAGCUCCUUCGACGAGUCGAGUAGUUUGGGAAUGCUGCUCAAAAUGGGAGGUAUAUGUCUUCUAAAGCUAAAUAUUGGCCAGAGACCGAUAGCGCACAAGUAGAGUGAUCGAAAGAUGAAAAGCACCUUGAAAAGAGGGUUAAACAGUACGUGAAAUUGUUGAAAGGGAAGCGCUUGUGACCAGACUUGGGCGCGGCGGAUCAUCCGGGGUUCUCCCCGGUGCACUUCGCCGCGUCCAGGCCAGCAUCAGUUCGUCGCGGGGGAAAAAGGCUUCGGGAACGUGGCUCCUCCGGGAGUGUUAUAGCCCGUUGCAUAAUACCCUGCGGUGGACUGAGGACCGCGCAUCUGCAAGGAUGCUGGCGUAAUGGUCACCAGCGACCCGUCUUGAAACACGG